rnacentral:rRNA from 1 species
GUCUUUUUGGUAUUUAAUAUAAAGUCUGACCUGCCCACUGAAUAUUGUUUGAAGGGCCGCAGUAUUUUGACUGUGCAAAGGUAGCAUAAUCAUUAGUCUUUUAAUUGAAGGCUGGUAUGAAUGGUUGGAUGAGAUACAAGCUGUGUCAUAAAAAUUAAUAUUUGAAUUUACCUUUUUAGUCAAAAGGCUAAAAUAAUCUUAAAAGACGAGAAGACCCUAUAGAGCUUUAUAUAAUUAAUAUUUAAAUUAUUAAGAUUUUUAAAAUUUAAUUAUUAAAUUGUAUUUUGUUGGGGUGACAAUAAAAUUUAUAAAACUUUUAUUUUUGUUUAACAUUAAUUUAUGAUUAAAUGAUCCAGUUUUAUUGAUUAUAAAUUUAAGUUACCUUAGGGAUAACAGCGUAAUUUUUUUUGAGAGUUCUUAUCGACAAAAAAGAUUGCGACCUCGAUGUUGGAUUAAGAGUAAUUUUGGGUGUAGAAGUUCAAAGUUUAAGUCUGUUCGACUUUUAAAUUCUUACAU